UACGUAGGGUCCGAGCGUUAUCCGGAUUUACUGGGCGUAAAGCGUGUGCAGGCGGGGCUCCAAGUGGUGUAUGAAAUUUCCCAGCUUAACUGGGAGAGGUUAUGCCAGACUGGAGUUCUAGAGUGCGAGAGAGGGGCGUGGAAUUCCGGGUGUAGUGGUGAAAUGCGUAGAGAUCCGGAGGAACCCCAGAGGCGAAGGCGGCGCCCUGGCUCGCAACUGACGCUCAGACACGACAGCAUGGGGAGCGAACGGG
rnacentral:rRNA from 1 species